UUGAGGAAGAGAGAGCACGCAGGGUCCUCAACCCUGUUUUCGGUCUUCCUCUGUCGUCCUUCUCGUCUAGCGCCGGUGACCGUGAAAGGUCUUCUUCUUCCCCUGUCGUGUGUCGCUUAGAAGCAUUGAGAUUCAUUUUGUUCUUCUCUGUUUCACGUCGCAGAACGCUCACAAUCGCUGGUCAUUGUAAAGAUCAUCCGAUCACCGUUCUUCUCCGUCGCCGGCUGUGGGUUCUUCGAUUUUCGGCUGCGGCAGUCGCCCUUUGCAGCAAAAGCAGCGUCAUUUUCCUCCUCCUGGUUAUGGUCACUGAUUUGGGAUGAAGAAGCUUCAAGUUCUGCUCAUCCUUCUCAACUGACUUGGCGCACGCACAGAUAUAACACCAUUUUCUGGAUCCUUCGACUAGGGGGGUUUUGCUAAUGCCGUCUCCCUCUGUUCCUCUUUGAUUUUUCCGGUUCAAUUUUUCCGGUGAGUUCUCAUUGUUUUGCCUCCAGCCAAGUCUUCCGCAUUUUUCCUCUUCUUUUCUUCUCUUUUCGGCAGUGCAUACACGUUCUGGAGCAGAGGAACAGAGUUGGAGAUUUUUCUUGGUUCCAGUAGCUUCGAGAUCUUUGUCUUCUACCCUCAUCCCUGUUACUCGUCCAAUCGCCAGCAACCUUGAGAACGCCGGAAUCCUUACUGUGGGUAGUGCACAGUACUUCGUCCAGCUCUCCCCUGUUCCGUAUCAUUUUCUUUCUUCAGCAUCUGUGUAAAUAUGUGAUGUUUGGAAAGAGGGAAGCUCAAAUAAGAGUCAUACGAAAUGAGUUUGGAGCCUUGAGGAUAUUACAGGUAAGUGGAUAGCGUCCCAACUGAUAUUUUAUCGAAAUCUCUUUUAUUUGAAUAUUACAUUUUUAUGCAAAUUAUUUUUACGACACCAAUGUGAUUAUGAGACAUUUUGUUGCUUAAAUUAUUUUAUUUUGUGAAAUUAUUUUACCAGAGUUGAUCAUUUUAGUUAAUCAGUAAAUACAAGUUUGAAUUUUAAUUGUGGGAUUUCAAUUUGAAAAUUAUUGAAUUGUUACGGAAAAACGAUUCAUGCGAGUUCGAAGUUGAAAGUUUUUUUUUAUAAAUGCAAGCAUGAGCAGUGGAUAUGAAAUUUGAUUCUGGCAAGUUUUAAUGCUUGAAAGUAUUCAUGCGAGUUUGAUUUUGAGAAUGAGAACUGUAUCUUGAAAGUGAUGAUUUUCUCGCAUGUUUGAAAAAUGGUUUUAAAAAGGGACUUUGUACAGAACACUGAUUGCUAACGGCAGUUUCGUUAGCCCUUGGCACGCCAUGGUACACCUAGCUAGCAGGGUGUUCAUAGGAGGUGCUAGCCCCGUGCGAUGGCCAACGCACGUGGAACGGAGGGAUGGUUAUUCGUGAGCAUAGUACUCACGUUUGUUUCAUGGCUUCAAGCCGCGUUUGGUUACUUACCCUCAUGGAUUGUGUGUUCACGUUUGUUUCGUGGCUUCGGCCGCGUUUGGUUAUUUGCCCUUGUGGAUUGUGUGUCCACGUUUAUUUUCGUGGCAUAAGCCGCGUUUGGUUAUUUAUCCUCGUGGACUGUGUGUCCACGUUUGUUAAUUAUUCUGAUA